rnacentral:tRNA from 1 species
CCGCCGAUGGCCCGCAGGACCGGUGGCGCGGUGAGGAUGGCGCCGGCGACGGGCGCGACGACGAGCACCGCCCCGUACCAGACGGGGUUGGUGAC